rnacentral:tRNA from 1 species
GGAUAUAGUUUAAUGGUAAAAUACUGGUCUCCAAAACCAUAGAUGUUGGUUCGAUUCCUACUAUCCC